AAUUCUCAACCCCGAUCGAUUUGUUUCGACUUCGGGGCUUGGAUCUGGAGCGUGCUGGCGUCGGUCGGCUCCUCUUAAAUGCAUCAGCGGAAUCUAACGUUUCGGACGUCAGUGUGAUAAUCAUGUUGCGCUGUCUGUCUGAUCCGAAAGCCCGCUCACAAUGGUCUUCGGACAACUUUAUCAA
rnacentral:misc_RNA from 1 species